rnacentral:rRNA from 1 species
UGGGGAAUCUUGGACAAUGGGGGCAACCCUGAUCCAGCCAUGCCGCGUGAGUGAUGAAGGCCUUAGGGUCGUAAAGCUCUUUCGCCUGUGAAGAUAAUGACGGUAGCAGGUAAAGAAACCCCGGCUAACUCCGUGCCAGCAGCCGCGGUAAUACGGAGGGGGUUAGCGUUGUUCGGAAUUACUGGGCGUAAAGCGCACGUAGGCGGACCAGAAAGUUGGGGGUGAAAUCCCGGGGGCUCAACCCCGGAACUGCCUCCAAAACUAUUGGUCUAGAGUUCGAGAGAGGUGAGUGGAAUUCCAAGUGUAGAGGUGAAAUUCGUAGAUAUUUGGAGGAACACCAGUGGCGAAGGCGGCUCACUGGCUCGAUACUGACGCUGAGGUGCGAAAGUGUGGGGAGCAAACAGGAUUAGAUACCCUGGUAGUCCACACCGUAAAACGAUGAAUGCCAGUCGUCGGGUAGCAUGCUAUUCGGUGACACACCUAACGGAUUAAGCAUUCCGGCCUGGGGAGUACGGUCGCAAGAUUAAAACUCAAAUGAAUU